UUGAAUUGUGCGGUUUAGGCUUAAGCACAACAGGAAUUCAGAGAAAAGAGACGGCACCUUCACCAAUAAUCCAAGAUGACUUCGAUCAUCCAGAAGCAGCCAGGUAAAAGGGGUCAAAAAACUUGCCUGGGAUCACCUAGCCAGUAAGCAGAAGAGUCAGGAGUCAAACCAGGGCAAUUUGGCUCCGGAGUGGAGCUCUUCACUUGCAUGCCACAGAGCCAACCUCAAGGAAGCUGGAGGCUCAGCUGGACUUUGCAGGACAAGCCACAAGACAGAGGCACCUCUGCUGGGAAGAAGGACCAAGGACUUCCCGUCAUGCACUUCCCAUGAUCCAACUCAGGGUUUCUCCGGAAGGCCUGCAUCCUUCUCUAUUCUCUCACCCCUGCGUUUCCCACCCUGCCAGCCUCCCUCACCCCCUUCUUUCCCUUCUUCUUCCUGUUGUCCAGGUCUAAGAGUUCAUCCUGGCCAAUGACUGGGAGCUCCCAGAGCAGGUGAUGUUGGAGUAGGGGUUUGAAGGAUCCGUAGGAAUUUGCCAGGAGAAAGUGGAGGAGAGGUCAAGGUUGACUGUACAGUUGUCUCCCUACAUUCUCGGCAUUCUGGGAGUCUCCAUGCUUCAGUUUCCUCAUCUGUAAACAUGAGAGUAAUGAGUACCUACU
rnacentral:lncRNA from 10 species